UCCAUAUCAUGAUAAAACACUGGUUUCCGUAUGAUCACUGAAGUUAAGCGACAUUGAACCUGGCCAGUACACAGUUGGGUGACCAGUUGGGAAUACUAGAUGCUAU